CCCUCCGUAGCUUACCAUGCAGUCGAACGGAAUCUUAGGAUUUUGUGGCGGACGGGUGAGUAACGCGUGAGAAUCUGGCUCUAGGUCGGGGACAACAGUUGGAAACGGCUGCUAAUACCGGAUGUGCCGAAAGGUGAAAGAUUAAUUGCCUAGAGAUGAGCUCGCGUCUGAUUAGCUAGUUGGUGUGGUAAGAGCGCACCAAGGCGACAAUCAUUAGCUGGUCUGAAAGGAUGAUCAGCCACACUGGGACUGAAACACGGCCCAAACUCCUACGGGAGGCAGCAGUGGGGAAUUUUCCGCAAUGGGCGAAAGCCUGACGGAGCAAUACCGCGUGAGGGAGGAAGGCUCUUGGGUUGUAAACCUCUUUUCUCAAGGAAUAACUCAAUGAAGGUACUUGAGGAAUAAGCAUCGGCUAACUCCGUGCCAGCAGCCGCGGUAAUACGGAGGAUGCAAGCGUUAUCCGGAAUGAUUGGGCGUAAAGGGUCCGCAGGUGGCAUUGUGUGUCUGCUGUCAAAGAAUGAGGCUUAACCUCAUCAAGGCAGUGGAGACUACAAAGCUAGAGUACGGUCGGGGUAGAAGGAAUUCCUGGUGUAGCGGUGAAAUGCAUAUAGAUCAGGAAGAACACCGGGUGGCGAAAGCGUUCUGCUAGACCUGUACUGACACUGAGGGACGAAAGCUAGGGGAGCGAAUGUGAUUACAUACCCCCAGUAGUCCUAGCCGUAAACGAUGGAUACCAGGGCGUGGACUUGUAUCGACCCGAGCCGUGCCUGGAGCUAAACGCGUUUACGUAUCUCCGCCUGGGCGGAGUACGCCACGGCAAGUGUGAAACUCAAAGAGUGGCGGGGGACCCGCACUAGGCAGCUGGGAGUAUGUAGUUUCAUUCGAAUGCCACGGACGCAGUACCAUUAUCCUAGACUGGACAGUGUCGCGAAUUCUGCAUAGCAAGGUGCAGGAGUGCUCUGAACGUGGAGCGCCGAACCCAGGGUGGUGGCAUGGCCUGUCCGCUCAGCUUCGUUCUGGAGAGUGUGGUAGUCCGAACGGAGCGCCACCCUCGCCUUUAAGUGCUAGCAUUAGUUGCACUCUUAGGACUGCGGUGACACGAGACGUGAGAUAGCUAGUCAUAUGCUACGCUGGC
rnacentral:rRNA from 1 species